GCAGCCUUAGCUCAGUGGCUGAGCAUCUGCUUUGCAUGCAGAAGGUCCCAGGUUCAAUCCCCAGUGUCUCCA